CGGGUGAGUAACGCGUGAGGAACCUGCCUCAAAGAGGGGGACAACAGUCGGAAACGACUGCUAAUACCGCAUAAGCCCACGGCUCGGCAUCGAGCAGAGGGAAAAGGAGUGAUCCGCUUUGAGAUGGCCUCGCGUCCGAUUAGCUAGUUGGUGAGGUAACGGCCCACCAAGGCAACGAUCGGUAGCCGGACUGAGAGGUUGAACGGCCACAUUGGGGCUGAGACACGGCCCAG
rnacentral:rRNA from 1 species